GCGUGCUUAACACAUGCAAGUCGAACGAUGAUGCCCAGCUUGCUGGGCGGAUUAGUGGCGAACGGGUGAGUAACACGUGAGUAACCUGCCCUUGACUUCGGGAUAACUCCGGGAAACCGGGGCUAAUACCGGAUAUGAGCCGCCUUCGCAUGGGGGUGGUUGGAAAGUUUUUCGGUCAGGGAUGGGCUCGCGGCCUAUCAGCUUGUUGGUGGGGUGAUGGCCUACCAAGGCGACGACGGGUAGCCGGCCUGAGAGGGCGACCGGCCACACUGGGACUGAGACACGGCCCAGACUCCUACGGGAGGCAGCAGUGGGGAAUAUUGCACAAUGGGCGAAAGCCUGAUGCAGCGACGCCGCGUGAGGGAUGAAGGCCUUCGGGUUGUAAACCUCUUUCAGCAGGGAAGAAGCGCAAGUGACGGUACCUGCAGAAGAAGCGCCGGCUAACUACGUGCCAGCAGCCGCGGUAAUACGUAGGGCGCAAGCGUUGUCCGGAAUUAUUGGGCGUAAAGAGCUCGUAGGCGGUUUGUCGCGUCUGGUGUGAAAACUCGAGGCUCAACCUCGAGCUUGCAUCGGGUACGGGCAGACUAGAGUGCGGUAGGGGAGACUGGAAUUCCUGGUGUAGCGGUGGAAUGCGCAGAUA
rnacentral:rRNA from 1 species